rnacentral:rRNA from 1 species
UGGGGAAUAUUGCGCAAUGGGCGCAAGCCUGAUGCAGCAACGCCGCGUGAGGGACGACGGCCUUCGGGUUGUAAACCUCUUUUGGCAGGGAAGAAGCGAAAGUGACGGUACCUGCAGAAAAAGCACCGGCUAACUACGUGCCAGCAGCCGCGGUGAUACGUAGGGUGCAAGCGUUGUCCGGAAUUAUUGGGCGUAAAGAGCUCGUAGGCGGUUUGUCGCGUCUGCUGUGAAAACCCGAGGCUCAACCUCGGGCCUGCAGUGGGUACGGGCAAACUAGAGUGCGGUAGGGGAGAUUGGAAUUCCUGGUGUAGCGGUGGAAUGCGCAGAUAUCAGGGGGAACACCGAUGGCGAAGGCAGAUCUCUGGGCCGUAACUGACGCUGAGGAGCGAAAGCAUGGGGAGCGAACA